UUUUUAGUAUUUGAGGAACAUUUAUACUGUUUCCUGUAGUGUCUGUUGCGAAUUACAUUUCCACCAACAAUGGGGGAGGGUUCCCUUUUCUCCAUAUCCUCAUCAAAAUUCGUUAUUUGCAUACCUCACUGUGUUUUGUUUUUUUCUUUUUAAAUCUGCAUUUCUGUGAUGAUUAGUGAUGCCGAGCACCUUUCCGUGUGCUGCUAUUGAGUUUUUCUAAACUGAUCAAUACAAGUAUAAAUCGUAACAUCUGUCUAAUUUCUUUUAUGUUUCCCCCACUUAGAUGUGGGUCUAGGCCCUUUCCUUUAACAAGAGUUGAUACAGGGUGACAAGGCCUUACUUAUCACAGACAGAUGUCCUGGAAAUAGCACUGGGUAAUGUCCACAGUUAAGCCUGAAAAAGCCAGAAGCCACUCAGGUCAAUCUCCUGUUGGAGCCCUCCACCACUAAGAAUGAGCUCUGCAGUCCUGCCUGCUGGGGUGAAGCCCAGGCCUCAUGGGGAGGCUUCCUGAAGCUCCUCCAUCAAACCCAGGUUCAGCUGCAGACGUGGCAGUGACGUCACCUCCACAGGAGUCCAGCUUCUUGUGUUAGUGUCAGCCCCAACUGUCAUAUCUCAGUUGGAUAAUCCUUGGAAAAAAAUAUGACACCGUCUUAAUUGCUGGUUUACUUCAUCAAGGGCCCGCUUAACCUGUGAGCAGAUGUCUGGGGUGAGCGGAGUCAGCAGUGGAGGGCCUCCCUGCUGGCUCACACAGUGAAGAACCUUCCUGCAGGGCCAGAGACACAGUGACAAGGAUUUGUACUAAACCCGGGCUUUCCAGAUGGCUCAGUGGUAAAGAAUCCACCUGCCAACGCAGGAGACAAGUAGACAAGAGUUCCAUCCCUG